UUUGAACCGCAUGGUUCAAAAGUGAAAGACGGUCUUGCUGUCACUUAUAGAUGGAUCCGCGCUGCAUUAGCUAGUUGGUAAGGUAACGGCUUACCAAGGCAACGAUGCAUAGCCGACCUGAGAGGGUGAUCGGCCACACUGGAACUGAGACACGGUCCAGACUCCUACGGGAGGCAGCAGUAGGGAAUCUUCCGCAAUGGGCGAAAGCCUGACGGAGCAACGCCGCGUGAGUGAUGAAGGUCUUCGGAUCGUAAAACUCUGUUAUUAGGGAAGAACAUAUGUGUAAGUAACUGUGCACAUCUUGACGGUACCUAAUCAGAAAGCCACGGCUAACUACGUGCCAGCAGCCGCGGUAAUACGUAGGUGGCAAGCGUUAUCCGGAAUUAUUGGGCGUAAAGCGCGCGUAGGCGGUUUUUUAAGUCUGAUGUGAAAGCCCACGGCUCAACCGUGGAGGGUCAUUGGAAACUGGAAAACUUGAGUGCAGAAGAGGAAAGUGGAAUUCCAUGUGUAGCGGUGAAAUGCGCAGAGAUAUGGAGGAACACCAGUGGCGAAGGCGACUUUCUGGUCUGUAACUGACGCUGAUGUGCGAAAGCGUGGGGAUCAAACAGGAUUAGAUACCCUGGUA
rnacentral:rRNA from 1 species